GUCUACGGCCACGCCACCCUGAACACGCCGACCCCGUCUGAUCUCGGAAGCUAAGCAGGGGCGGGCCUGGUUAGUACUUGGAUGGGAGAUCACCUAGGAAGACCAGGUGCUGUAGGCG
rnacentral:rRNA from 1 species